rnacentral:lncRNA from 1 species
GCCCAAGUGAAAGCCGCCAGAGCAGCUACAGCAAGAGCUGGAGCAGAGCGAGAGAAGGAGACUAAAGGGAGGCAGGCUGCGAGAUGGAGAAAUUAAUUAUUCUACUGCUCUGGUUACAGUAUGUUGUUAAGGAUCGUGUUCACAAGGAUGGGCAGCAUUAAAAAAUAACUGUUAUAGAAUUAACAAUGACAGUAAGCCAUGGAAUAUAGCCCAGCAACAUUGUAAGUUAUCCUUAAGUUCUGCACACCUUGUGGAUAUGAAAAAUGAAGAGGAAAAAAAUUUUGUAUUUUCGUAUCUCAGGUCAAACAAUCAAAUAAUAAUAUGGACUGGUCUUAAUGAUAUGAAGAAAGAAGAUCUUCUUACAUGGGCAGAUGGAUCAUCUUUUGGCCUUAAGAAAAAUGAAAUAUUUUCUUUUCCAUUGCUAUCCAAGAAUGAAACACAUUGCUACAUUUUACAGCAAAAUGCAACUGGAUCAAACUAUUUCUUUACAAGAUUUUUCUGUUACGUUCCAUUGCCGUAUGUUUGUGAAUAUGAAUGUAAUUAUUUUUAUUAUUCUUUCUUAU